GAUGAACGCUGGCGGCGUGCCUAAUACAUGCAAGUCGAGCGAACAGACGAGGAGCUUGCUCCUCUGACGUUAGCGGCGGACGGGUGAGUAACACGUGGAUAACCUACCUAUAAGACUGGGAUAACUUCGGGAAACCGGAGCUAAUACCGGAUAAUAUAUUGAACCGCAUGGUUCAAUAGUGAAAGACGGUUUUGCUGUCACUUAUAGAUGGAUCCGCGCCGCAUUAGCUAGUUGGUAAGGUAACGGCUUACCAAGGCAACGAUGCGUAGCCGACCUGAGAGCGUGGGGAGCCACACUGGAGCUGUGACACGGUCGAGACUCCUGCGGGAGGCCGCAGCACGGCAUCUUGCACGAUGGGCGAGGGCCUUACGGAGCAAAUGCGCGUGAAGGAUGAAGGUCUUCGGAUCGUAUACCUCUGUUAUUAGGGAAGAACAAAUGUGCAAGGAACUAUGCUGGUCUUGACGGUACCGAAUCAGAAAGCCACGGCUAACUACGUG
rnacentral:rRNA from 1 species